GAAAAAUGAAAACUUCCCAUGGCCAGUAUUAGGCCACUGUAGUUCUUUGAUCUGCUCACUUGUACUCUCUUGAGGUGUAGAGAAGGGGCAGGAAAUUAGAGAGAGAUAAGGCAACGGUCCCUCCAGGGUCCCUUCAAUGUGGAACAGCCCCGCACAUGACAGAGACCCAGGUGCCAGCAGCCUUCUCGCUUCCCAUGGCCUGGGCACAGAUACGCAGACUCAACACACAGGAGCCCUGAGAGCGAGGCUGAUUCAUUCACUUACCCAGAUGAAUGUUCACAUCUCGACUGACUUAUUUAAUGAGAACAAGUUCAUGUGCCAACAUGCGAACUGACCCUCAAGCCCCUUCCGCCGAAAGAAUUUGGACGGUAUCUCGUUCUUGAGUUAACGAGCCCUGGAUGAGGAUCGCUUGUUUUGCACAGCGAUGCCUGCUGGCCUCGACUAGCGUUCUGACAAGAGGGGGGUUGUGAGAGCUCGUGAGGGAAGACGGGGAAGAAGGACCCCCACAGGGGAGCCAGAGGAGAGCGUGGCACAGUCUAUCAAAAGUGAUUUUACCCCACCGGCCGUCUUUGCGGACGAGGAAGCUCACGGAUGGCAGCGGGGCAGUGGCUCGGCCAAGUUCAUCGGCUGAUUUACAGCGGAACUGGGGCCCGUUUGUCCAGCUGUCUACGUCUCUCCUUCUAGUUCUUCUUCUUCUUCCCGGGUUUCCUCCUUCUCCGCCACUGCCUGCCUGAUUCCUUGCUUUUUAUUCCAAAUAUGUAAGUCUCUAAUAAACCUACAGACAGGCUGAUGCCUGAUUUAUCCCCA